rnacentral:lncRNA from 1 species
UCUUUGGCUCCAGCUGUGGACCCUCGGGACAUGAGCAGGGCAGAACAGUGCUGGACCACCUUCCGUCUGUCCUGCCUAGGCUCUUCUCAUAGACAUCGGGCUGGGUCAGCUCACCAUCACUCCUCAAGUGGGAAGCAGGCCCCCGGCAGAUCUCCCCCUCAUCGACUUCUGCAGCCCUCCUGAAGCAGAUGUGGCUUUGGGAUCUGCAAGCAGACCCCUGAUCGACCUCACCACAAACACUCCAGAUGUGAACAGAAACAGCGUGUCAAAAAACAGUGUGUCAAAACCUUUGCAGGCCGAGGGACAGGUGAGAAGUGGCAGGUGAUUCCUGCUGGCUUCAGCCUGGUUUGGUUCCUCGCCCCAGGGCAUGGCAUGGUGGCCCUGAGGCUUCUUGCUUGGCCUGAGCUUCUUGAAGUUCACCCUCUGAUGCUGAGUGGUGAACUCCUGCCAGGCCUUGGGGGCAGGGGUCAUGUUCCCAACUCCACACCCCCCUGGUGUGCGGAGCUGGGAAGCAGCAUGAGUAUGUGAGGGCCUGGGGUCAGUGUGUGUGGGCUUAGAUGUGAUGGUCGAGGUUUCCUUUAAGUGGACCUGAACCGGGUGAUCCAGGGGGCUGAGUUGUUGGCCUGCCCAGGGCAGCUCCGCUCACCUUGUUGUCUCUGCCCUUCCAGCUGAUCGACCUGGGCUCCCCUCUGGUCCAGCUGAGCCCUGAGGCUGACAAGGAGAAUGUGGACUCACCGCUUCUCAAGUUCUGAUACAGCAAGGUCCUUGCCUUUAGUCUUUGUUGAAAGAACAGUCGUGAAGUGGCUUUUGAAACAAGUUUUAGAAGAAAUUGCAUUUGACUUAAGACAAUUUUUUUAAAAACCCAAAGUACACUCACUGCAGCGGGCAGGGUAAGGGACCAGGGCUGUGGAGUGUGGCCUGGGUCUCUUCCACAGCUCCCUCC